AUUGAACCUUGGCGGCAUGCCUUACACAUGCAAGUCGAACGGCAGCACGGAGCUUGCUCUGGUGGCGAGUGGCGAACGGGUGAGUAAUAUAUCGGAACGUACCCUAGAGUGGGGGAUAACGUAGCGAAAGUUACGCUAAUACCGCAUACGAUCUAAGGAUGAAAGUGGGGGAUCGCAAGACCUCAUGCUCGUGGAGCGGCCGAUAUCUGAUUAGCUAGUUGGUAGGGUAAAAGCCUACCAAGGCAUCGAUCAGUAGCUGGUCUGAGAGGACGACCAGCCACACUGGAACUGAGACACGGUCCAGACUCCUACGGGAGGCAGCAGUGGGGAAUUUUGGACAAUGGGCGAAAGCCUGAUCCAGCAAUGCCGCGUGAGUGAAGAAGGCCUUCGGGUUGUAAAGCUCUUUUGUCAGGGAAGAAACGGUGAAAGCCAAUAUCUUUUGCUAAUGACGGUACCUGAAGAAUAAGCACCGGCUAACUACGUGCCAGCAGCCGCGGUAAUACGUAGGGUGCAAGCGUUAAUCGGAAUUACUGGGCGUAAAGCGUGCGCAGGCGGUUUUGUAAGUCUGAUGUGAAAUCCCCGGGCUCAACCUGGGAAUUGCAUUGGAGACUGCAAGGCUAGAAUCUGGCAGAGGGGGGUAGAAUUCCACGUGUAGCAGUGAAAUGCGUAGAUAUGUGGAGGAACACCGAUGGCGAAGGCAGCCCCCUGGGUCAAGAUUGACGCUCAUGCACGAAAGCGUGGGGAGCAAACAGGAUUAGAUACCCUGGUAGUCCACGCCCUAAACGAUGUCUACUAGUUGUCGGGUCUUAAUUGACUUGGUAACGCAGCUAACGCGUGAAGUAGACCGCCUGGGGAGUACGGUCGCAAGAUUAAAACUCAAAGGAAUUGACGGGGACCCGCACAAGCGGUGGAUGAUGUGGAUUAAUUCGAUGCAACGCGAAAAACCUUACCUACCCUUGACAUGGCUGGAAUCCUUGAGAGAUCAGGGAGUGCUCGAAAGAGAACCAGUACACAGGUGCUGCAUGGCUGUCGUCAGCUCGUGUCGUGAGAUGUUGGGUUAAGUCCCGCAACGAGCGCAACCCUUGUCAUUAGUUGCUACGAAAGGGCACUCUAAUGAGACUGCCGGUGACAAACCGGAGGAAGGUGGGGAUGACGUCAAGUCCUCAUGGCCCUUAUGGGUAGGGCUUCACACGUCAUACAAUGGUACAUACAGAGCGCCGCCAACCCGCGAGGGGGAGCUAAUCGCAGAAAGUGUAUCGUAGUCCGGAUUGUAGUCUGCAACUCGACUGCAUGAAGUUGGAAUCGCUAGUAAUCGCGGAUCAGCAUGUCGCGGUGAAUACGUUCCCGGGUCU
rnacentral:rRNA from 1 species